AGAGUAUCCUGUGCAGUGGGACGAUCUCCAUUCAGUACAAUCUCCACCUCCUGGGUGCAAGCAAUUCUCCUGCCUCAGCCUCCCUAGUAGCUGGGAUUACAGGCACCCAUCACCACAUCCAGCCUCUAUGCCAAAGCCCGACUCCAAGAAUGAGCAUACAAUCCAAGAUGCGGACUACACGGAAAACACUCUGAUACCUGCCACCUGAGCUCCAGGGAAAUGUCAUAGCAAACAAGGGAAGGAUAAAUAGCAUAUAUUUUAUGAUUCUACAUAUAUAUAUUUUUAAUGACCAGAUUCUCCAUAAUUAACACAUGCUUUCUUUCCUUCUUUUUUCUUUGAAACAGGGUCUUACUGUGUCACCCAGGCUGGAGUGCAAUGGCACGAUCAAGGCUCACUGCAGCCUUGACCUCUCAGACCCAAGAGAUCCUCCUGCCUCAGCCCCCGGUAGCUGAGAACAUGGCACAUGCCACCACUCCUGGCUAAAUUUUUGUAUUUUUCGUAGAGAUGGAGUUUUGCCCUGUUGCCCAGGCUGGUCUCAAACUCCUGAGUUCAACUAAUCCCCCCACCUCGGAAUCCCAAAGUGCUGGGAUUACAGGCGUCAGACACCACGCCUGGCUGACACAUAUGUUUUAAUGCCUGCCUACAACAGGCUAGGGUUUACAAGUCAAACCAAAAAUCCAUGUGUGAGCAGCACAUGGUGAAGUGUACCUAUGGCCCCAAAGAAGCCCUUGGCCUUGGGAACAUGUCUUGCUCAUUUCUGAAUGGUAUUUCAUGUACCUGGGAGUAGGUCCCAGAAGAAAAUGCUCCACCCACAACUGGGUGGCUUCCUUAAAACCUUGCGAAACCGGCUUCAAAGAACUAAAAGAAUAAUUUAGGUAGAAAAGUCAUUGGCUUGAACUUCAUCCACCAAAACUGCUUUGUGUCUUCUUAGCCGGAGAAUCCAGAGAAGUGUCAUUUUUCCUACUGUUGUGGCCUUUGCAUUGUUUGAAACAAGAUGCACUCAUUAUUUGCAACACAUCUCUUUGGAUCGAAGCACAGCCAGCUCUCACCGCAGCAGCCUUCUAUCAGCCACUAAAUGAUGGCAGGGCCAGCAGACUCUGGCGACUCCUGUGGUUGCCGGAAUCUGAUCUUCACAUCAUGUCCACUCUUCCCAGGCACAACCCAGAGUUAGAACUUUUGCUUUCUCCAAAUUCAUAUCAAGCGACCAGGUGAGGUGGCUUAUGCCUAUAAUCCUAGCACUUUGUAAGGCCAAGGCAGGCGGAUCGCCCAAAGUCAGGAGUCCGAGAGCAGCCUGGGCAACACGGCAAAACCCUAUCUGAACUAAAAGUAUAAAAAUUAGCCAGGUGUGAUGGCACGUCCCUAUAAUCCCAGCUACUUUGGGAGACUGAGGCACAAGAAUCGCUUGAACCUGGGAGGCAGAGGUUGCAGUGAGCCAAGAUAGCACCAUUGCACUCCAGCCUGGGCAACGGAUUGAGACUCCGUCUCAAAAAAAAAAAAAAAUCAGAUGAAGGGAUCCAAUCAUGUUCCAGACAAAAUGCUCAGUGCUUUCACAAAAUUCUCCCUAUAAGAUGGGAAUUUUCUCCUCGUGCCAUAGAAGUGGAAACUAAGGCUCAGAAAGUUCAAGUGACACACAGCAGGUCAGAGACAGUGCCAGGAAAGGAACCCAGGUCUGUGUGACUCCAAAGGUCCCGUUCUUUUCACUUCCUCAUUUUCCACCAAAAAAAAAAAAAAAAAAGUACCAGUUUUACACGUAAACAAAUACUGUUGUUCAUCCAUACCUCGGUAUUAGCAGGUUCUGAGUUUCACUCUAAUGGAGCUCAUUGGGCCUGAAUGGGUCUAGUUAGAGGUGACAAUUAUGUUAAUGAUAUGAAGCCAGAGAGUUCUCUGCCCCUUAAGAAGCAAUAACUUUAUUCCUGGCCAAGGAUGCUGAGUUGACUAUGUUCUUUGGACCCUUUGUCAUGGCCAGACUAGACGGAUUGGCUAGUGCUAUCACUUGGAAAGGAGUUUACUCCUCUUUGAUGCCCUCCUUUGUAUCUGGAAGUAGUCAAUCUGAAAAUUAUUUAGCCAUAUCUUCUGUAACAAACCGAAGGGGGGAAAGUGUCCCAGAGAAGGCCACAGGCAUUUGCUCACCCUUAUUAAUUCCAUGUAACAACUCAGAGGCACUCUGAGCCUCUCAACCCAAAGCUUCAUAUCUUCAGAUGCCAAGCCUCCAGUAGCAGGGCCACGUGACUCAAGCAGACAGGAAGCAGACCAGAAGUAGGCUAGAAGCCAACCUGAGCACAGCACCAUGUCUCCAGGACCAGGGAGCACAGUAACUUGAGGCCACCUGUUCACCCACUGUAUUUUUACCUAUUUUAAAAAUGUUAAACUCUCAGGGCUGAUGUUAGAUGUUUAUGAUGCCACCAGGUAAGCCCACAGGUGUGCUUUGAUAGUCUCUGGUAAGGAUUACUGGCCUCAGAUCCCCUCUGGUACUUUGGGGAAGUGGAAGAAGAUGAGCUGGUUGUUCUUGCUGCUGCUUCUCCACAAUGAGACAGAAUAAAAACCCUCUUUGGUUUCCUCCUGAAUCUACUACCUGAGGAUCUAGAUAGUUCUGGCUUGAAUGAAAUCAAAGUGGUUUAAAUUAAAACUAAUGACAUUGGGUGGGGCUUGGUGGCUCACACCUGUAAUCCCAGCACUUUGGGAGACUGAGGCAGGCAGAUCACAAGGUCAGGAGUUCGUAAACAGCGUGGCCAACACGGUGAAACCCUGUCUCUGCUAAAAAUACAAAAAUUAGCCAGGCAUGGUGGUGGGCACUUGUAAUCCCAGGUAUUUGGGAGGCUGAGGCAGGAGAAUCACUUGAACCUGGGAGGCAGAGUGUGCAGUAAGCUGGGACUACACCAUUGCACUCCAGGCUGGAUGACAGAGCGAGACUCAAUCUAAAAAAAAAAAAA